GCCAGGCGCGGUGGUGCGCGUCUGUAGUCCCAGCGACUUGGGAGGCUGAGGCAGGAGGAUCACUUGAGCCCAGGAGUUCUGGGCUGUAGCGUGCUAUGCCGAUCGGGUGUCUACACUAAGGUCGGCAUCAAUAUGGUGACCUCCCGGGAGCGGGGGACCACCGGGUUGCCUAAGGAGGGGAGAACCGGCGCAGGUGGGAUAGAAAGCAGGUCAAAACUCCCGUGCUGAUCAGUAGUGGGAUCACCCCUAUGAAUAGCCACUGUGCUCCAGCCUGGGCAGCAGAGCGAGACCCUGUCUCUU
rfam:Mustela putorius furo unplaced genomic scaffold scaffold00049, whole genome shotgun sequence.